UGUCAAGGGAUGAGAAUCGAAACCACGAACUUCCGCUUACCGGGCAGAUGCCAUGACCACUAGGCUACCCUGGAC
rnacentral:tRNA from 1 species